rnacentral:lncRNA from 1 species
AAAUUAUAGAAAAAUUCAUCGCCUCUAACUCAAAAUAUGGACAAUUUUAUCUUUAGGGCGUCUUGAAAUCUUUUGACAGCUUCCGAAGUGCUAUUUUUCAACCUUUUUCACCUGGACCAAAUCACUACUUUCCUUUAAAAUUCUGGACCCAAAUUUUUUUAGUGUAAUUUCACCCCCUUACUUGCAAUAUGAGGCAUUAAACAUGGAGAAAUAAAUUUAGAAGGGGUAUAAAAAUUAAUGGCAAGUAACCCACUGUCAACACUAGGGACUAUAUUUGUGAACAACGAAAAUCAAGGGACAACAAUUGUGGUCUCGGACCAUAACUAUUCAAAUGAGGAAACAGGGGGAGGAAUUUUAACUCUAACAGUUUUAUUAAUUUUGUUAUUAAAGGUUUUCUUAAUAGUUUUUUCUUUGAAAAUAUUUCUUUAAACUUUUCAAUCCCCCACAGUUCUACUUUACCUGAAAUAGAAACCUUUGAAGAUAUUUUAUUUGCAAAUUGGUGUUAUAUUGAUUUAAAGGUAUUUGCACAAAUUUAGAUCUAAUAUCAGCCAAACAUAUUUGGGUAAGUUAUGUUUGAAAGAAUGCACACAUAUGUAUUAAAUGUACAAUGUUGCAGCAUUUUUAUGAAAGAUAAAUUUAUUAGAACAAUUUGAAAGUUUUUCUUAUAAAUCAGUUCAUGACAUUAUUUAAGUGAACAAAAUAUUUGUUAAGAUUGAGGGAAACAAUACCAUACUGGCACAUCAUAUUUCAUACCAAAUGAUGUUUAGUAUAAAUAUCUUUUUGCUGUAUUCAAG